rnacentral:rRNA from 1 species
GAUGAACGCUGGCGGCGUGCCUAAUACAUGCAAGUCGAACGCAUUGAGAGAAGUGCUUGCACUUUUCAAUUUGAGUGGCGAACGGGUGAGUGACACGUGGGCAACCUACCUGAUAGCGGGGGAUAACGAGUGGAAACAUUCGCUAAUACCGCAUAACAAUAGAGAAGGCAUCUUCUUUAUUUAAAAGGCGCUUUCAAGCGUCACUAUCAGAUGGGCCCGCGGUGCAUUAGUUAGUUGGUGGGGUGAAGGCCUACCAAGACGAUGAUGCAUAGCCGAGUUGAGGGACUGAUCGGCCACAUUGGGACUGAGACCAGGCCAAAACUCCUGCGGGAGGCUGCAGUAGGGAAUCUUCCACAAUGGACGAAAGUCUGACGGAGCAACGCCGCGUGUGUGAUGAAGGCUUUCGGGUCGUAAAGCACUGUUGUAUGGGAAGAAAUGCUAGGCUAGGAAAUGAGCUUAGUUUGACGGUACCAUACCAGAAAGGGACGGCUAAAUACGUGCCAGCAGCCGCCGUAA